GACGAACGCUGGCGGCGUGCCUAACACAUGCAAGUCGAGCGAAUGAAGUUCCUUCGGGAACGGAUUUAGCGGCGGACGGGUGAGUAACACGUGGGCAACCUGCCUCAUAGAGGGGAAUAGCCUUCCGAAAGGGAGAUUAAUACCGCAUAAGAUUGUAGUACCGCAUGGUACAGCAAUUAAAGGAGCAAUCCGCUAUGAGAUGGGCCCGCGGCGCAUUAGCUAGUUGGUGAGGUAACGGCUCACCAAGGCGACGAUGCGUAGCCGACCUGAGAGGGUGAUCGGCCACAUUGGGACUGAGACACGGCCCAGACUCCUACGGGAGGCAGCAGUGGGGAAUAUUGCACAAUGGGGGAAACCCUGAUGCAGCAACGCCGCGUGAGUGAUGACGGCCUUCGGGUUGUAAAGCUCUGUCUUCAGGGACGAUAAUGACGGUACCUGAGGAGGAAGCCACGGCUAACUACGUG
rnacentral:rRNA from 2 species